rnacentral:lncRNA from 1 species
UACGGUCCCCCCCCCCGCCCCCCCUCCCCGACUGGUCUAAAGUUUCCUGGACUUGUUUUGCUCAUUCUGAAGCGCGCGAUGAUUGGCUGACCGGCACCAGAGGUUUGUGCUCUUUGGCGCCUACCGGAUCUGUGUGGAUGGAGCUACUCGGGUUGCCUCUGCUGUCAUUAGGAUCUAAGGCACCCUGCUGAGGCCGCGUUAUUGUAGUAAAGGGACAGGCUGGUACGGACGAUUUAUUUAUUAUUAUAUCUAAGUACACUGUAGCUGUCUUCAGAUGCACCAGAAGAGGGCAUCAGAUCUCAUUGUCUUUGGAAGAGCAGUCGGUGCUCUUAACCACUGAGCCAUCUCUCCAGCCCACGUAUAGUCUGAGCCUUACUUAUCCCAGCAUGUUGCUAACCUAUGGAGGCCAAG